CGGGGUGUAGCGCAGUUCGGUAGCGCACCGCGUUUGGGACGCGGGGGUCGGCGGUUCGAGUCCGCCCGCCCCGACUA
rnacentral:tRNA from 1 species